rnacentral:lncRNA from 1 species
GGUGUAAGCUGUGUCAUCAGUGAAAUAACACAGCAUCUUUCCCUGAUAUCUAUGAAACAGCCAUUGCCUUGGAUGAACCACUAGAUCUCUCAGUCACAGCAUAGUAUCCAACAAUCUCCCCAGACAUUUAGUCUAAGUGGGCAUGAAGCUUUGUUACUUUUUUACCCCUGUGAGUAAACACCAUGCAAGCAGCUUAACCAGACUGUUUUUGCUCUGAAAUGGCUUUGGAGUGGCUUCACCGAUUGACAGAAAGGGUAUUUAUUUGGGAAUCGAUUAUCUAGCCUGCUGAGGGUGGAUGGAGAAUGGCACAAACAAUUGCACUUAGUGAUGCUCCAUUAAAAUACAACCCACGUGGGUGUACUUUAUGGUCAGACAAAUCCAUGGUGUGUACUGUGUGUGUGUGUAGGUGUGUGUGCGUCCUCUCUGUUGUUCUCUCCCCUGACCUUCCCCUGUGUUUACCCAUUAUGCCUUUAUUGCCGUAUAGAUGCUCCAUCGAUCCAGGCACAAAUUAAGAUUUAAACGUUACGUCACGCGACCUAUCGAGUUUUACAUUUAGGGCAUUUGCAAUAUGCAAGACUUAUUGAUCCAGCGAGCAGUCAGCGUUUAUAAAACACACCCUCUGCCAUCAGCAGUGCUUUUUCAUUUUUAUUUCUGGAGGCCUGCAUGCCAACUGUGACAGAACUUUCACUCUCACCUUUUUCCUCUUUUUACGUCUCUCAGAGUUAGUUCACUUUUUUUAACUGGGAUCUUUCUCCCGCUUCUUUUCACUGUCUAUGACACACUUGGCAGUGUCUUUCUCAACCCUUCUUCAAUCUCUCUCGCUGACGCCGUUCUAACUCUCUCCGGUGUGUUUUUUUUUUUUUGUGUCUUUUCUUCUUGUUUUUGGGGAUGUGACGUGAAGUUCUGUCCUUGUGUUCCAGGAAAACGGUCCCCCGAGGAACACGUGCUCUACGUGUGGGACCACUUUGUGUCCAAAGCGCCGCCAGGAACGUCUUUGUCGUGGCGCACACGCUACGGAGGCCUGUCGUUGGUGGAGCUGCUGGUGCAGGAGCCUGGUGGUGAUCAUAGCUCUUUGAUCUGUUGGAUUUACUGGUAGACUCUCCAUGAACCCACGUUAUUUAAAGCAUCUCUUUCCUCUGCUUUUCGGGAGGGGAGCGGAGGGUAGGUGAGGACAAGUGUAGUGUGGGGGGUGGGCGGUGUGUGUACUUGUCCCACUGGUAAUUCCAGGAAUAUAUAUUGUUCCUCCUGUAAACCUACUCUUUUUUAAAUUUUGUAAUAUUAAUUUGCUUGCUAAAUAUUCAUGUGGUGUUUUGUCCGUGACAGCCAUUCUCCCCCGCCUCUGUGUGUGCCAAGGAUGGUGUGCUCUCUCUCUCUCUCUCUCUCUCUCUCAUAUGUGUGUGUGUGUUUAAAUAUGUGAUUUUUUUUCCCAAUCACCUGGGUCUCUACCUUGUGCCUUGUGACAAUGGUGUCAUAGCUCCCUCACUCCUCCUUCCCUCACCCUCUCUGGACUAGCCAUGACUCCUGACCCCUAGGGGGCAUUGGGGCCAGCUAGCCUUGGAGCUAAGUGUCAUCCAUCCCACCAAGACCCCCAGGCCAGACAGCCCUCCCUCCCCAUGCUAUCCCCUGACAGCCCCACUCCACUGCACUGACAUAGGUAAGCAGGUAGCGGUUAAGUGCGUUGGGCCAGUACAUAAAAGAUUGCUGGUUUGAAUCCUAGAGCGGACUACUUGAGAAAUCUGUUGAUGUGGCCUUGAGCAAGUCACUUAUCCCUUAAUUGCUCCUGUACGUCGCCAGGAAUAAGAACAUCUGGUAAAAUGUUAAUGUAGGGGUUGGGGAGUACAGCCAUAGCCCCUGCUCUUCCCUACUGGGAUCUAGCUUCAUAGGGAGCAACGAACAGGUUUUUGUUCCUUCAUUGCCACUGUUGGGACAAUGCAAACAUUCACGAAAACACUUUAAUGUGCGGAGACAUGCACACCCCACACACGGAAACAGGGAUAUAUACACACAAGCACUCACAUCCCACAGACACAUUCAACCACCUAAUUGAGGAGAAAGUGGCCGGGGGGGGGGGCCAUGGUGGGAUGUGAGCCUUGCGGGAUGAACCAUUUGACACACAAGCAGACCCAGAGAAAACAAGCUGUCUCCGGGUUAAUUAUAGCUCCCUUUUGCAGUUAAUAAACACGUUUCUGAUCAAGCACAUCAAACGAUCUGCGAUUAAUUUCGCCUGCUCUGCCCUCCCCUGCUCACUACCAUGUAUCCCCUCAGUUUGGAGCGCUCAACUGUUUCAUUGCAAUUUGAUUUAUUUUAAAACACUUCAUAGUGUGUAUAGACUAAUUAUAGUCACAUCAAAGAGUAGCUAAAUGCCUUUGAAUGGGAGAAGAUUGCUGCAGGGAGGAGGAUGGCUUUAUGUCGAAAUCUACCAAGUUUUAAUACCGGGAAUAAUUCAUAUUUAUCCUGAGAGUCCCAGGAAAUACAGAAAUAUGUGGCCAGUUAAAGCAUUUAAAACCAAAGAUAUUGUCAAUAUAGCCAGGGUUCCCAAAUAAGAUUAUCGCAGCCCCACCUUGUCAGCUUGGCUGCGGCACUAUGUAAAGAUGUCAUGUUUUUAUCAUGUUCCUCAAUUAUUUCAGCGCAUUUCAGCAGUCUCGACACAGAGCGUGCUCAGGACAUAUAUACAAACGUUGUAUAUGACGGCAGUCAAAUUAAAAAAGACCAAAUUACCUUUGUUGUUAAUCUUGCUCGAUAACCUCCGUCAACAAAUGACCGAAUAUCUCCCAUUCAGCUAAAUGUAGUUGAUGAUUAUACAGAGUGCAAAUAGUUUAAAUAUCAAGGUAUCUUCACAGGUACCAACUUUCAUUUUUUUUUUACAUUGAGAUUUCUUCUCUCAUACCUUUUUUGUUGAGCACACAUUAUCUACCGAAGCGCACAUAUGGGCAGCAAUACGAGACAGCACGGAGAAGUGGGGGAAAUGUUUUGGCCAUAUUAUGACCAAAACAUUAUGUGUAGGCGAGACGUGCUUUGAUAAUGCAACCUAUGGAUGAGAGAAUACAGUUUUUUUUUCAUCAAAAGUUUUUAUUUUUUUUAUUUUCAUGCGAGUCGGGAUUUGGGGUUUCAGUGGGAUUGGGACUGGAUAGGACAAUAGCAUAGACUCUAGGACAGGAGAAGAUAGCAUUUCCCCUCAUGCCUCUCUGCACUGUUAUCAAAUUGUAUUAGUCACAUGCGCCGAGUACAACAGGUGUAGACCUUACAGUGAAAUGCUUACUUAACAGCCCCUAACCGACAGUGCAGUUAAAAAAAAUAUUGAGAAGAAUAAGAGAUAAAAGUAACAAGUAUUUAAAGAGCAGCAGUAAGAGCACCUGACAUUUAAUCCUAGUAAAAAUUCCCUGUCUUAGGUCAGUUAGGAUCACCACUUUAUUUUAAGGAUGUGAAAUGUCAGAAUAAUAGUGGAGAGAAUGAUUUAUUUAAUAUUUUAUUUCUUUCAUCACAUUCCCAGUUGGUCAGAAGUUUACAUACACUCAAUUAGUAUUUGUUAGCAUUGCCUUUAAAUUGUUUAACUUGGGUCAAACAUUUCGGGUAGUGUUCCACAAGCUUCCCACAAUAAGUUGGGUGAAUUUUAUCCCAUCCCUCCCGACAGAGCUGGUGGAACUGAGUCAGGUUUGUAGGCCUCCUUGCUCACACAUGCUUUUUUCAGUUCUGCCCACAAAUGUUCUAUAGGAUUGAGGUCAGGGCUUUGUGAUGGCCACUUCAAUACCUUGACUUUGUUGUCCUUAAGCCAUUUUGCCACAACUUUGGAAGUAUGCUUGGGGUCAUUUGACCCAUUUGCGACCAAGCUUUAAC